UUUCCUGCUCAAUUCAAAAUGACUUUUCCCAUAAAACCUAAAAACUCUUUUGGAGGGAAAAAUGUGCCUAACAGGGUUAAAUGUCUUUUAAAAGAGCAUUUUAAACGAUGCAUAAUCUGUAAAAUUCAUAAUCUUGUAAUUCUCUUUACAUCCUGCAGGGUUCUCCUGAUGCACUUUCAGUGAGUUUCUGGUCUGGCGUGUUGACAGACUGACCGAGUGGAGCAUUGAGCCAUAUGUUAUGCGACGUCUGAUGUGGCAGAACAUUGUCACAUGGCUCUCUCCCUGACAGUCUACCAACCCCCAACAGCAGUCUCCAUCACAUUUGUCAAUCACACUGGACCGCUGCUCGAAGGGGGCAGUUAUUCUCUCCAGUGCACUGUUCAGGAUGUUGCACCUCUUGAAAAAGUGGUCGUGACUUUUUAUAAAGAGCAGACAGCUUUGAGUCAAAUCAAGUUCAAUGACACGAGACAGAAAACUCCGGCGAACAGAAGCAUCACUCAGAGCAUCAUUCCCUGUCAAAGGACAACGGAACAGAGUACUGGUGUGAAGCUAGGCUGGACCUGGGACCGGAGGGACCACAACAACCGCUAGUGGUGACGUCACAAAAACUCACUUUACUAGUGCUCUCACAUCCAAAUUCCACAAAACAUCACAAAAUAUUUGGCAAUUGUAACGUGAAAACCUCCCAAUCUGAGAGCAGUGGUGAGUUUACGUUUGGAUCUUCAAAUAUACUUGACCAAAUUAUAGUUUUUGAAACAAAGAAAUGUUGAUUUUAUGAUUGAAAUGGGUGCAUGAAGUACUGAUGAAACCAUUUCCUCCUCCUUAGGAACUACAAACAGCUAUCAAACAUGCUUCUUGCUGGCUGCUUUACUGGCUCAGAUGAUUAUCCAGAAGUAAAGCUUGCAAACAGGAACGAUCUGACUCCCAUCUCCACGUAGUUUGAUGAUUUGCUCCUUUGAGAAACUCAUUUAAGAAGAAUCAGAUCUUUGAUUUUAUUUAGUAAUGGUCUAAGGAGUGGUAUGUGUAACUAAAAGGAGUUGUUCUACUCUGCAUGAUUCCUCACAGGUACAUGUUCUCACAAAACCAAAGGUUGUGCUCAUGAAAGAAUUCAAACUCCUUGUUGCUGUACUAAAAACUGUUUUGUACAUUUUGAUUAUUACACAUUUCUCAAAUUUCUGAAAUACAAUUUUUUUUUUUUUUUGGUAGUUUUCAUUUGUGAUUAUAAAAAGACAUGUGCUUGACAUGAUCCCCUCAAGCAUUUUAAAACCCACAUUCAGACUCUAUUUUGUGUUUUUGAAAGAUUGUGAAAUGACCAGUAAACAUCCAAGCAGCUGAUUUAUAACUUAUGUUUACCAAAUUUAAAAAGUACAGGGGAAGCAUUUUCUUUUUUUGCUUUUCAUGAGAUGCUACAGUUCUUUACAGUCACAUUUAUUUAUUCUUGUAAAGCAGGAGAACCUUAAUCAAGGCAGUAGGCUGCUAUUGAAGAUUCAAGUUAGAUGCAUUAUCUCUUUAAGACUCUCAAAAUGUAUUUUUUUCCCUCCUUUUAACAUAAUUGCAACUGAAGUCAGAAAAAUACAGAGUAGGGCCAUUGUACAAACUAAUUUUUUUUAAAAAUUACAACUUUAAAUCUUGUAAAUUUACGAGAAUGAAGUUUUUUUUACAACUUUAAAAGUUGCAGGCUAAAUUUAUGACUUUUCUUAUGCGUUUUAAUGUUUUAUAUGUAUUACUACAAAUCUUGUCAAUUUAUAUUUAAAUUUGUUUUUUGAGAAAAAAAAAUUGUAAAUUUAAAAACUUUAAAUCUCAUUUAGAAAAAAAACCCAACUUCAAGAAACAAGAAAUAUAUAUAUUUAGAUUUAUUAAGAUAAACAAGAAUGUAAUUUCAUUUAAAAAGUUUUUUAAAAUAAAAAUCAUAAAGAGGGAAAAUUUAAGUACAUUUUUCCUCAAAACUAGAAUUAAAAUAAAAAGCAAACAUUUAAGUGUUUGCAUGUUUUUCACAUGUAAAUAUUAGACAAAACAAACACACAAUCUGCUUUUUACUAUUUAUUUUUUUGCUUUUAAAGAGAAGGGGAAAAAACAGCCCAUUUCUCCAUAAACUUAGCAGGUUUCUAUCUAAUUACUGUGUUUUGGUUUUUGUCAUGUUUUAGUGUGUGUGUGUGAGGGGUGAUACAAAUCAAACUGUGCCAACAUCUUGAUCAGCUUUAGGUCCAAACUGUGUUUUUUUUUUGUUUGUUUUUUUUUGGGGGUGGGGAGGUUGCAUCUUCAGCUAAUUCAAGGUGACUUGUUUAAGUGGAGUACAUUUCAGUUAGUGAUGUUGCAUAUACCAUGAAAAUAAACAUAGGAUUUUGCCGUGUUUUUGCAUCGUCUUAAAACACAGGAGAUGAGCAGAUUUAUUCUCACCUCUUUAUUUAAAUAUUGUUUUGGUUUUGUAGUUGUUGGCAUAGAUUAAAGAAUCAGUCACGUUAAAGACCAGAUAAACUGCACGUCGUGUUUUUAACAUGUUCUUGUAGCAUUUUUACUGAGGGACAUAUACAAAGAAAUUUAAGCUAAAGAAUCACUUUUGCGUAUUGAGGCUGUUUAAAAAGAGCAUAUUUGUGACAGAAAAUACACUUGGCGCGACACAAGCUCCCUGCUCCGCUUUGUAAUGGGGAGGGAAAACAGAGCUCCAACCCAAUAGUCCCACCCACAAUUUGGAGGCAAUUUUAUAAACAGCUAUUGCAGCUGUACAUGAACUGCUCUUGAAAACAACAGCUUUUAGAAAAGACCACUACUUUUAAAAUAGAUCUGAGAUCAUUUGCAUUCUAAAUGAAGAUCUGAAAGUCUACUUUGAUUAUGAAAGGCUAAAGGUUUAUCCACAGAUAAAGAAAAUCUAGUUUAAUAUGCAAUUUAUUUUGUUCACUGAAAGUACAGUUCAACAUUUUAAAGUUUUCUCAAGUAGUUCAGUCAGUAGAAUCAGUUCUUUUAAAUCAGGAAAUCAAUACAUUAAACUUUUUUAAACAAAACAAAGACAUCUAACAAGUGUUUGUUAUUUAGAAUUAAUUUUGGCUCCAGAUUCCAUCUCCAUUGUUGGGUUUCCCAUCAAGUGCUCAGGCCUUCCUGGACUCUGUUCAGAUCUAGAAAAGAUUUAAAACAUGCGUUAAAUAUUUUAUGCUUGCUGUCAAAAAUGAGUCACAAAUUGAGAAAUUUUACAACCAAUGCAGAGAAAUCUCACUCAACCUAAAAACAACCAAGCAAUAUGGUCAUGCAGAAGACAUCAUCAUCAAGUCUUUAAAUAAAUGCAAUAGUUGAAACAAAAAGUAAACUUACUGUAGACAGCCUCAGAAUCAGAGAUUAACAGCAUCUGAGUGUGAUCCAGCCGACUCGGAUCUCCAAUCUUCAGCAGAUGAGGGAAAACAAUCUGGCACUCCUCGUUUCCAGGGAAACCUACAGGGCUGGGCUGAGGGGCAGUAGGCAGAAGAGGACUAUUCAUAUCCGUUUCUGUGCUCCACUGCUUUGCAAAAGCUUCGGUCAGCAGUUCUUGGGAAAGCGCCGGAGGCUGCUCACUGGUCACUUCUGGUCCAGAUCGACUGCAGAGACGUGAAACUGAAGACUCUGAGGCGGUUUGGUCAGGAGGUCCGCCCGUCUUUGGAACCAAAGGAGGAACAGUCCCUUCAUCCGAAGCAGUGCCUUCCCUCUGACAUACGGAAACACAGCUGGACAGAUGUGAGCGGUCAUUCAAGCCAGAAUCAGACCUCGGUGGAACUCCAUAAAAACUGCUACAGACAUCUGACGUCUUGGAGGCUCCACCAGUGGACUGUUUUUUCAAGCACCUGGCCUUGUUUCCUCUGUAUGGGAGUAAAAGUGAUAUUUAUUGUAAUCAAACCAUUAAAUAAAUCAUUGAAUAACUUUUAGCCAAAACUUAACCCACAGUAAGGAGUGAAAGAGCCCCAAAAGUUUCUUGCUUUCUCUUAGUAGCACUCUGAAACAGGAGAAGUCAGUAUUUGAAGAGCAGGUAUAACAUCUGCUUCUCAGAUUCUUACCUCGACUGCAUCCACCCUUUAGGCCAAAGGGCUUUAACCUCAUUUUCUAAAAAGGUUUUAAGAAACUCUUCAAUUUCUUGGUCCCUUUGCCUUCUUUUUUAUAUUUGUCAGAUUUUUCCUUCAGCACGUGGCUUAAACACUCUCUGCAGACCAGAAUAUAGCACAAAUUGGUUUAGAUCAAUUUUCUUAUACAUCUGAUUUCUUUAAACAUUUUAAGUGUGAAAUAUGAAGCAGAAAAAAAAAAGGCUCUAACCUGAUCUCCUCAUUCCAUUUGAACAAUUUCUUUGGACCUCCUUUUCUGCCAGCCCUCUCCUCUACAUUGUCCUCUUCUGCCGUCCUAGAACGUGGUAAAAGAAAGUUCCUGACGUCGGAGCAUUUCAAACAUGCUACACCUCAGUACUAAAUGCUCCAACGCCCACUUUAAUGUUUUGGUUUCUUCAUAAGCGCGACAGCUUUCAUUGAAGCUUGCAACCUGCUCCGGCAUGGAUCUGCCGAUGGAUUCCUUAAGUUUCUGCAUCGGCUCUUCUGCAUUGACAGGCUCUUCCUUAAAUGUACAAGUAACAAGAUCAAAAUACUGUAGAGACCUUUUGGUAGAAAUGCUACACAGAAAAGCCGCAUUUACCAGCUGUUUUAUCAGUUUCCUCACUCGUUUGAGGAGCGUGUCUCUGCUGCAGGGCAGGAAGGACGACAGGUGUGUGUACACCUUGGAGCGCAGCUGGCCGCUCUGCUCUUGACACUGCAGCUCAAUGCUGAGGGUUGACAAACCGUUAAAAAGUUGACUUUAAAAAAAUAAUAAAGUCCAACUCCAAUCAUCUUUAGCUCCAUUGCAAUAGCAUUCGCAGUGGUCUUAA
rnacentral:lncRNA from 1 species